rnacentral:rRNA from 1 species
GAUGAACGCUAGCGGAAGGCAUAAUACAUGCAAGUCGAACGGAUGUAGCAAUACAUUAGUGGCGCACGGGUGCGUAACGCGUAUGCAACCUACCUUCAUCAGGGGGAUAACUACCCGAAAGGGUGGCUAACACCGCAUAAUACUAUUGAGUGUCAUCCCUUGAUAUUUAAAUCUGAGGAGGAUGAAGAUGGGCAUGCGUCUGAUUAGCUAGUUGGUGUGGUAACGGCGCACCAAGGCGACGAUCAGUAGGGGAACUGAGAGGUUGGUCCACCACACUGGCACUGAGAUACGGGCCAGACUCCUACGGGAGGCAGCAGUAGGGAAUAUUGGUCAAUGGUGGGAACACUGAACCAGCCAUUCCGCGUGCAGGAAGAAGGGUCUCUGACUUGUAAACUGCUUUAGCAAGGGAAGAAAAAGCUCAUGCGUGAGAAAUUGACGGUACCUUGAGAAUAAGCACCGGCUAACUACGUGCCAGCCGCCGCCGUAA